rnacentral:lncRNA from 1 species
AUGGACAUUUCACAGGAAACAGCAAUUCUGGGGGGGCUAAAAAUUGAGAUUUUCAAACAACUGAGCAGAAUUUGGGUUUGGUUUUUUUGUUGUUGUUUUGGCAGUAGCAGGACUAGCUUGGAUUCAUUUUACAUUUUUAUCCUUUCAAAAUGCAGGAUAUUUAAAGAUCCCUUUUGGCCCACAUUCCAUCCCAGUGCAUCUGCCAAGGGCACAUUAUUAAAAGUUAUUGCUAAUUUAUGCCACGUGGGUUGGUUUAAAUGUUUAUAUUUAAAACAUCUUUUUUUUUUUUCUUUUUUUUUUUUUUUUUCUUUUUUUUUUUUUUUUUUUUUGUAUUUUGUUUUUUUUAAUGGUGGCAGCCACUACUGUUACAUUAUGAUUUUAAUUCUUAAAAAAUAACCCUGAAUUUUGAAAUGUAGCCUACUUUGGGAUUCUGCAACUACAACCUUUAUGGGUUCCUUUAAAACAAACUUUAAAAGUUUUAACAAAACCUUAAUUUCAGCACUAAGCAUAGCAUGUCACUUUUGGAAACUAACAUUUUUUUUU